UUUACUUUUGAAGCUAAAGGAUAAUGCUGGUAAUCUAAUUAUGUACCUCUUACAGAAACCAUAUGCAGCACUUUAAAAAUCUUUAUUUGGUAUAUUAUUUUAGGUGGACAAUGAUUUAAGACUCAAAGCCAUCAUAUUAAGGUCUAAAUACAUUAGUGGUGGGGUUUCUCGAAUAAAUGAGGAAGUGCACAAAAGUUCAGCCUGACUGAAAAUUUUAAUUGUGUUUUAAAACUACAUGAAUAAUUUCUUGAUUCAAAAUCAGAACUCUUAUAAACUAAAUCUGAUGGUGUCCAAAGAAUUUCAGGUCCUUCAAAGUUUGUAAAAGAUAAGUAGGGGCCUAGGAAUAUAAAAAUUUAGACUUUUUUAGUAAAUGGUUUACAUAACCUUUUGUCUUAAUUUGUCAUUCUUCAUACACAGGCACAAGCUAAUCAGUCUUCUCUACUUCUAGAACUCUAAAUCUUCUCAGUAAUGUCAUACAAGUCUAACAAGAGGAAAAGCAUCCUUAAGUCAGUCUAUUUAGAUAAACUCUUCAAGUCCCUAUAUAAGGACGUAUUCCACUAGCAAGCCAGUAAAUUUUUCCAAGGUCACAUAAUCUUACAUGAAAUGGAACCUUUCAUCUUAGACUUCAUCAAACUCAAUUUUUUCCCUUCUAGAUUCACUUUGUGUUUAUGCAUGCAUGCACGCGUGCACACAAUUCUAUCAGCAGCUGUAAACUACCCACAUAUUUUCUUAAUCUCAUUUUUUCAGUUUUUCUUCAUCUUUAAAAGAGGUUACAUUUCAUUCCUGGUCAACUCUUAAAAAGAAUUAUGUAAUGUUGGGCCUUCAUAUUAAAGAGAGAGACUGGUUAUAAGAUCCUUUACAGUCCAUUCAUUUUAUUCUGAUGUCUAACCAGAUAGACACUAGCAAGCAAAACUUCCCUCUUAAUCCUGGACCAAAUGCAUAAUUUUACUGUCACUUUCAAAAAUCUGUUAUGACUGAAUCAAAAUCCUUUUAAAGAAAGGAAAAAGCUCCUUUUGUGUCAAAUAGUUGAACAACAUGAAAACAGUAUGAGCCGGUUAAAGAUAGAUUGAAUUUUUACUUUACACAUAUGAAAAACAGUAAGUUUUGACUGCUGUGUAUGUUAUUCAUGUUAAUAUGUGCUCAGUUAUUCACUAUUGUUAAUCCACAUAUGUCUUAUUAAAUGUUUUGCCAGUGGUUCUUAAAGUGUGUUUCUGACACCAGUAGCAUUGACUUCACUUAGAAACCUGUUAGAAAUACAAAUUAUUUGGCCCCACCCAACACUUGAGUCACAAACUUUGCAGAUGGGGCUCAAUCUGUUUUAACAAGCGCUUCAUGUAAUUUUGAUGCAGGCCUAAGUUUUUGAGCCACUGCAGUAUGCAUUUCUAUUUUUAAGCAAAGAUCUUGGUCUUUCUUUUUGGACAUUGUAGAAAUAACAUGAACUUGUUUUUUGUUUGUUUUUGUUUUGUUUUGUUUUAAGCUCCUGAUCUUUGUUGGUUAUGUUGCAAAAGAUUGUAUCAGGAGAAGCCUCAGCAUGGACAUUGGCAUCCUGACAUAACCCCCAUUAAUUUAGUAUUCUUUCUGAAACUCAAAUGGAUUCUCAAGUCCAAGAGACUAUGGAAUAAAAUCAUUGUUUGUCUGUGUUAAGUUUUAUCUCUGUUAUUGCCUGAAGACUUUUGGUAACAAUAAUGCGCUUUCAUCAAACUUUUAAGACUUGAUUGGAAAAAAUAAAUGUAUGUUUCAUCAGUUAUACCCCAUUGAAAAAAAAUUCAGUGUCCAAAGGAAACAGCUAUUUCUAAAAUAGUUGCUGCUAUCUCUAGAAAUAAAACUAGAACAUCCCUUUUUUCUUCUUGAUUUGCAUCCCUUUUGAUGUAUAUUCCAGUACUACAUUGGUAGAGGGAAGCUUUUCAGGACUGUCAGCUAAUGGUACAGAAAUAAUUGAUUUUUGUUAUCUGAAUGCAUUUCCCUUGAGAAAGGCUGUAGGAGGUAUUCAGAUACCUGUUGAAUAAGUGAAUACAGGAAUGAAUGAGUGAGAGACCUUGUCUAUUGUACUUAUGCUGACUCAUCUAAGUUUUAUGACUUUUAGCAAGUUACUUUACAUACUGACGGCUCUAUUUCCUUGUCUGUAAGGUGGAGUUUAUAAUACCUAUUGCAUAUUUAGUAAACUUUUGUUGAAUAUUUCACAUAAGCACUAGAUCAAACUCAGAUCUACUGAGUCGUUUUUUGGGGUGUGGGUUAUAGAUCUUUGUUCUCUUAAUAGAUCUUUGUCCUCUUAAUAGGAUCUACUCAAGGUUCUCAUGCACCCAAAGUUUGAAAAUUACUCAUUUAAACUCUACUAUUUAUUGGGCAGGCAGUUUCCGUCUUGGGUGAAGACUUCUUCCUCUUGAGAAGACUGGUGCUGCCAGCAGUCUCUUCAAGAUCACUACUCAUCAACUCCUCCUUGGAAAAAGAUUUCUUUUUCUUGGGUUUGGAGAAAGAGAUAGAUGGGUCUUCUGUUUUCUCCUGAGGAACCUCCUGGGGCUUUUGCUUUUUCUUCUUUUUGGGUUUUUAACUUUUUGGUUUUGUUUGUUUGUUUGUUUUUGAGACAGCGUUUCACCCUUGUCACCCAGGCUGGAGUACAAUGGCGUGAUCUUGGCUCACUGCAAUCCCCGCCUCCCGGGUUUGAGCAGUUUUCCUGCUUCAGCCUCCUGAGUAGUUGGGGUUACAGUCACCUGCCACCAUGCCUGGCUAAUUUUUGUAUUUUUAGUAGAGACAGGGUUUCACCUUGUUGACCAGGCUGGUCUCAAACUCCUGACCUCAGGUGAUCCACCUGCCUUGGCCUCCCAAAGUGCUGGGAUUACAGGCAUGAGCCACUGCGCCCAGCCCUAAAUACAUUUGGCUUUGAAAUGGUAUUUUAAGGAACCAUGGAUACAAAUAACUUAUGUUUGUCAACUAGCAAAUACCUAUUUCUAGGAAAAUAUGGAAUAGUCCUCCUAGCUCACUAAAAUUUUGACAGUAGCAGGCCUCACCCUUUGGUGUCAUGCUUGCAUUGAAGAAUUAUGAUUGUGAGAGGUGACAACGUGCUAGCAGCCCUCCCUUGCUCUCAGCACCUCCUCAGCCUCGGUGUCCGCUCUGGCCACACUUGAGGAGCCCUUCAGCCCAUCGCUGCACUGUGGAAGCCCCUCUCUGGGCUGGCUGAGGCCGGAGCCGGCUCCCUCUGCUUGCAGGGAGGUGUGGAGGGAGAGGCCCAGGCAGGAACCGGGGCUGCACGUGGCGCUCACAGGCCAACGUGAGUUCUGGGUGGGUGCAGGCUCAGUGGGCCCCGCAUGCAAAGAGUACAGAGACUACAUUUAUUGAGCACCUACUAAAGGGCAGGCCUGGUGCAAGGCUUUUUUACAUCUGUAAUCACAUAUAAUCCUUAGCACAAAACUGAGAUAUGUUACUAUCUUCCUAAUUUCACAUUCAAAAAACUGAGAUCAGAGGUUAAGUAUAUCUUAUCACAUAAGCUUGGAAAUGGCAGGGCAGGAAUUUGAACUUAGGUGCUUCUGACUCAAAUCCAUACUCUUACAGUAGACUAUCUCUCUGUUGCACAUGGUGAGGAUCUUUAUGUUCAUUGUGGAGGGAAAAGGGAGCCCAAGUCUAGAGAUUGAGUAUAAAGUUUGGGCCAAAAGCAGGAGUAGAGUCUGCUGGAAGACUCGCUAGCAGCCUUAGCAUUGGCACCACCUCCUUACUAAAACCACAUCUUGCUUCCUGGCAGAGCCUAGUACUGUUAUAGUUGGCAGAGCAUUACAGGGAGCUUGGAAGAACUUCCCCGGUACCUUCCAAUUUUCCCUAUUUGGUCAGUUCAGACUUGCGUUAGUGCAAUAACCUCCUAACCAAUCUCUUGGCCCCUAUGCUUGCUUUACCUCCAGUCUGUUCUUCGCGUUGCACUUAGAACAACCUUUCCGAAGAACAGACCAGAUCUUGUCAUUCCUGUGCUUUAGCUCUUUCAAGGGUUUCCUGUUAUAAUUAGGAUAAAGUAGAAAUUCUUUAGCAUGGUUGGUUUGCUCCUUCUAUCCCUAGCCUUACUUCUCUCCACUGUGAACACCAUGUUUCAGCCCAGCAGGACCACUAUUCCUCCAAAUGUACCAUGUGCUCUCUCCCCUCUGCCGUGGGCAUAUUCUGCUGUUCCUUUAACAUUGAUCCAUUCUUCCUCCUUUUCCUUCUUACUCCUACUUGUCUUCUGUGAUCACUGCUUAAAAGUCAUUUUUUUCAGAAAGCUUUUCUGAACCUCUUCUCCAACACUACCCCCACACAUGUAGACUAGCACGCUCUAAUAUGGCCAUCAUCUUAUUGUAUUAUAAUUACCUUGUCUUAUUGAUAUAAUUUACAUAACAUAAAAGU
rnacentral:lncRNA from 1 species